rnacentral:rRNA from 1 species
GAUGAACGCUGGCGGCGUGCCUAAUACAUGCAAGUCGAGCGAACGGACGAGAAGCUUGCUUCUCUGAUGUUAGCGGCGGACGGGUGAGUAACACGUGGAUAACCUACCUAUAAGACUGGGAUAACUUCGGGAAACCGGAGCUAAUACCGGAUAAUAUUUUGAACCGCAUGGUUCAAAAGUGAAAGACGGUCUUGCUGUCACUUAUAGAUGGAUCCGCGCUGCAUUAGCUAGUUGGUAAGGUAACGGCUUACCAAGGCAACGAUGCAUAGCCGACCUGAGAGGGUGAUCGGCCACACUGGAACUGAGACACGGUCCAGACUCCUACGGGAGGCAGCAGUAGGGAAUCUUCCGCAAUGGGCGAAAGCCUGACGGAGCAACGCCGCGUGAGUGAUGAAGGUCUUCGGAUCGUAAAACUCUGUUAUUAGGGAAGAACAUAUGUGUAAGUAACUGUGCACAUCUUGACGGUACCUAAUCAGAAAGCCACGGCUAACUACGUGCCAGCAGCCGCGGUAAUACGUAGGUGGCAAGCGUUAUCCGGAAUUAUUGGGCGUAAAGCGCGCGUAGGCGGUUUUUUAAGUCUGAUGUGAAAGCCCACGGCUCAACCGUGGAGGGUCAUUGGAAACUGGAAGACUUGAGUGCAGAAGAGGAAAGUGGAAUUCCAUGUGUAGCGGUGAAAUGCGCAGAGAUAUGGAGGAACACCAGUGGCGAAGGCGACUUUCUGGUCUGUAACUGACGCUGAUGUGCGAAAGCGUGGGGAUCAAACAGGAUUAGAUACCCUGGUAGUCCACGCCGUAAACGAUGAGUGCUAAGUGUUAGGGGGUUUCCGCCCCUUAGUGCUGCAGCUAACGCAUUAAGCACUCCGCCUGGGGAGUACGACCGCAAGGUUGAAACUCAAAGGAAUUGACGGGGACCCGCACAAGCGGUGGAGCAUGUGGUUUAAUUCGAAGCAACGCGAAGAACCUUACCAAAUCUUGACAUCCUUUGACAACUCUAGAGAUAGAGCUUUCCCCUUCGGGGGACAAAGUGACAGGUGGUGCAUGGUUGUCGUCAGCUCGUGUCGUGAGAUGUUGGGUUAAGUCCCGCAACGAGCGCAACCCUUAAGCUUAGUUGCCAUCAUUAAGUUGGGCACUCUAAGUUGACUGCCGGUGACAAACCGGAGGAAGGUGGGGAUGACGUCAAAUCAUCAUGCCCCUUAUGAUUUGGGCUACACACGUGCUACAAUGGACAAUACAAAGGGCAGCGAAACCGCGAGGUCAAGCAAAUCCCAUAAAGUUGUUCUCAGUUCGGAUUGUAGUCUGCAACUCGACUACAUGAAGCUGGAAUCGCUAGUAAUCGUAGAUCAGCAUGCUACGGUGAAUACGUUCCCGGGUCU